AUCCUGGCUCAGGAUGAACGCUAGCUACAAGGCUUUAACACAUGCAAGUCCGAGGGGAAACGAUAUUGGAAGCUUGCUUCUGAUAGGCGUCGACCGGCGCACGGGUGAGUAACGCGUAUCCAACCUGCCCAUCACUUGGGGAUAACCUUGCGAAAGUAAGACUAAUACCCAAUGACGUCUCUAGAAGACAUCUGAAAGAGAUUAAAGAUUUUAUCGGUGAUGGAUGGGGAUGCGUCUGAUUAGCUUGUUGGCGGGGUAACGGCCCACCAAGGCGACGAUCAGUAGGGGUUCUGAGAGGAAGGUCCCCCACAUUGGAACUGAGACACGGUCCAAACUCCUACGGGAGGCAGCAGUGAGGAAUAUUGGUCAAUGGACGAGAGUCUGAACCAGCCAAGUAGCGUGCAGGAUGACGGCCCUAUGGGUUGUAAACUGCUUUUAUAAGGGAAUAAAGUGGGAGUCGUGACUCUUUUUGCAUGUACCUUAUGAAUAAGGACCGGCUAAUUCCGUG
rnacentral:rRNA from 1 species